rnacentral:rRNA from 1 species
UACGGAGGGUGCAAGCGUUGUUCGGAAUUAUUGGGCGUAAAGAACGUGUAGGCGGGUCUGUGUGUCAGAUGUGAAAGCCCUCGGCUCAACCGAGGAAGUGCAUCUGAAACUGCAAAUCUUGAGUACGAGAGAGGAGAGUGGAAUUCCCAGUGUAGAGGUGAAAUUCAUAGAUAUUGGGAAGAACACCGGCGGCGAAAGCGGCUCUCUGGCUCGAUACUGACGCUGAGACGUGAAAGCGUGGGGAGCAAACAGG